rnacentral:rRNA from 1 species
UACGUAGGGUGCGAGCGUUAAUCGGAAUUACUGGGCGUAAAGCGUGCGCAGGCGGUUUGGUAAGACAGAGGUGAAAUCCCCGGGCUCAACCUGGGAAUGGCCUUUGUGACUGCCCGGCUAGAGUGUGUCAGAGGGGGGUAGAAUUCCACGUGUAGCAGUGAAAUGCGUAGAGAUGUGGAGGAAUACCGAUGGCGAAGGCAACCUCCUGGGCCAACACUGACGCUCAUGCACGAAAGCGUGGGGAGCAAACAGG